rnacentral:rRNA from 1 species
UCGAACGAGAAAGUGGAGCAUCCAUGAGUACAGUGGCGUACGGGUGAGUAACACGUGGAUAACCUGCCCCUUUGUGGGGAAUACCGUUGGGAAACCGACGACAAUACCGCAUAAGCUCGAGAGAGGAAAGCAGCAAUGCGCAGAGGGAGGGGUCCGCGGUCGAUUAGCUAGUUGGUGAGGUAAUGGCUCACCAAGGCUGUGAUCGAUAGCCGGCCUGAGAGGGCACACGGCCACACUGGCACUGAAACACGGGCCAGACUCCUACGGGAGGCAGCAGUGGGGAAUCUUGCACAAUGGGGGAAACCCUGAUGCAGCGACGCCGCGUGAGCGAUGAAGCCCUUCGGGGUGUAAAGCUCUUUCGGCAGGGAAGAUUAUGACGGUACCUGCAGAAGCAGCUGCGGCUAACUACGUGCCAGCAGCCGCGGUAAUACGUAGGCAGCAAGCGUUGUUCGGAGUUACUGGGCGUAAAGGGUGCGUAGGCGGUCCUAUAAGUAUGGUGUGAAAUCUCCCGGCUUAACUGGGAGGGUGCGCUAUAGACUGUGGGACUAGAGUGUGGGAGAGGAAAGUGGAAUUCCUGGUGUAGCGGUGAAAUGCGUAGAUAUCAGGAGGAACACCGGUGGUGUAAACGGCUUUCUGGACCAUAACUGACGCUGAGGCACGAAAGCGUGGGUAGCAAACAGGAUUAGAUACCCUGGUAGUCCACGCCCUAAACGAUGCAUUAUUUGGUGUGGGUCAUUCAGUUGAUCCGUGCCGGAGCUAACGCGUUAAAUAUGCCGCCUGGGG